rnacentral:rRNA from 1 species
UACGAAGGGGGCUAGCGUUGCUCGGAAUCACUGGGCGUAAAGCGCACGUAGGCGGAUCUUUAAGUCAGGGGUGAAAUCCUGGAGCUCAACUCCAGAACUGCCUUUGAUACUGGGGAUCUCGAGUCCGGGAGAGGUGAGUGGAACUCCGAGUGUAGAGGUGAAAUUCGUAGAUAUUCGGAAGAACACCAGUGGCGAAGGCGGCUCACUGGCCCGGCAUUGACGCUGAGGAGCGAAAGCCAGGGGAGCAAACGGG